GAAGUUACAGCAAUUAAAGGAUAAGCAACCCUGAGAUCCUCCCAAGCUAACACCAUCAAAGAAAGUCAAUCAGUACGGGUAAUCAGAAUAAACCUCCGGAUGGUAUCCCUGCAAGAGUAUGUGAGCCCUCACAAAAACUCGACAAAAAGGUUAGACAAACAAGAUGAAAUCAAGAGAAAACAAUGCCAUGGCAGCACAAGAUAGGUUAGAACAAAACAGAACAAAAAAAAAAAAAACGACAAAAAGGUUAGACAAACAAGAUGAAAUCAAGAGAAAACAAUGCCAUGGCAGCACAAGAUAGGUUAGAACAAAACAGAACAAAAAAAAAA
rnacentral:lncRNA from 1 species